rnacentral:rRNA from 1 species
AUUGAACGCUGGCGGCAGGCCUAACACAUGCAAGUCGAGCGGAUGAAGGGAGCUUGCUCCUGGAUUCAGCGGCGGACGGGUGUGUAAUGCCUAGGAAUCUGCCUGGUAGUGGGGGAUAACGUCCGGAAACGGGCGCUAAUACCGCAUACGUCCUGAGGGAGAAAGAGGGGGAUCUUCGGACCUCACGCUAUCAGAUGAGCCUAGGUCGGAUUAGCUAGUUGGUGGGGUAAAGGCCUACCAAGGCGACGAUCCGUAGCUGGUCUGAGAGGAUGAUCAGUCACACUGGAACUGGGACACGGUCCAGACUCCUACGGGAGGCAGCAGUGGGGAAUAUUGGACAAUGGGCGAAAGCAUGAUCCAGCCAUGCCGAGUGUGUGAAGAAGGUCUUCGGAUUGUAAAGCACUUUAAGUUGGGAGGAAGGGCAGUAAGUUAAUACCUUGCUGUUUUGACGUUACCAACAGAAUAAGCACCGGCUAACUUCGUG